rnacentral:rRNA from 1 species
GACGAACGCUGGCGGCGUGCUUAACACAUGCAAGCCGAACGGAAAGGCCCUGCUUUUGUGGGGUGCUAGAGUGGCGAACGGGUGAGUAACACGUGAGUAACCUGCCCUUGCCUUUGGGAUAACUUCAGGAAACUGGGGCUAAUACUGGAUAGGAGCUCCUGCUGCAUGGUGGGGGUUGGAAAGUUUCGGCGGUUGGGGAUGGACUCGCGGCUUAUUAGCUUGUUGGUGGGGUAGUGGUUUACCAAGGCUUUGACGGGUAGCCGGCCUGAGCGGGUGACCGGCCACAUUGAGACUGAGAUACGGCCCAGACUCCUACGGGAGGCAGCAGUGGGGAAUGAUGCACAAUGGGCGGAAGCCUGAUGCAACAACGCCGCGUGCGGGAUGACGGCCUUCGGGUUAUAAACCGCUUUCGCCUGUGACGAGGCGGGAGUGACGGUAAUGGGUAAAGAAACACCGGCUAACUACGUG